rnacentral:misc_RNA from 1 species
AGAAGACUUUGGACAAGUUAAAUGGAGCUGAUGAUUCCAUUUCCUUUGGCGGAGGUGCCAAAUGUUCAAGUACCCAUUUUGUACAAGCGAUAGACAGUGAUAUUGAUCGGAUUAACUCCCACCAUUGAUCUUCGAUUGAUGUUGGUGGUUCAUUUCUUCCUCCUUUCAAUGCUGAAGAGGAAGCAUGGCAAACGAUUUGCUUGGGUAAAAGUCGUGGAUUAAGUUUCUCAGAUCGGGAGGAAAUGUUAGCAGACUUCUACCUUUGUUUUGUUUUCGGUGUUCAAAGAUUUCAUCGCUUUAGUGUGGUAUUUUAUAUCCCGGUUUAUUCUUAUUUCUUGAGGCUACGUGGUUUUUCUUUAUUUCA